ensembl:lncRNA
AGUGUUCCAGAGGACAUCUGCAGGCUGCAGAAACGCUAUGGAAGUUGGAGAAAUGACAUCCUGUCUGCAGUGUUUUACAAUUCUGAAGUAAGCAGUUUCAAGCGUACUGAAAAGCACAGGCUCUUCUAGUCAGCUCUUACUCUUUGCUCUCUGCCAUGUUAUGAAAACAGAAUUUGAACUUGAAUUCCAAGAUUUGAAAAAGAGGAUCUGCAGAAGAGUUAAAACUGCAGAGGAUAAACUGAUAUCCAAGAAGAUAUUUCUGAAACCAAUCUUCAUGUUAGUUUCUUGGAAAAAGCAAGACAUUUACAAGGAGUAACAAGGGAUUGACGAAUGAAGUGGACAGAAUUAUUUGCAGAGAUGUAUGCGUCUUACUUCUCUGUGACUCCUGAAUUCAAACAGCAGGCUGGUUUUACUGAAGAAUCAUGAUAAUGUACAGUCUUGUGAGCCCUGUCAGGAAAAGGAGCCAUGAAAUACUGUUUAAUCUCCAGAAGAGUCCCAGGAAUGAUUUUCAAGACCCAUUUCCUUCUGCUUCGCUACCAGGCUACUGCCGGUGACGUUUUAUGACUGCACUUGAGUUGCUCUUGCAUCUGAGCACAACAGACAAAGAAAUAAGCUGAUGCCUUAAGAAUUGCAAAGUGAAAAUGGUGAAAAUAGUGGAGAGGAAGUGAUUUCAGGGUGAAGAGAAGAUGUUUAUUUUUGAGGGGAUAAGAACAGUCUUCUGGGAAUUCACAUAGGCUCGUUCUAGUCUGAUACCAUUCUCCAGGGCAGCUAUUGUGUUUUGAAUGGAAAUUGGGUUGUAUGAGAUCCCCUGCUUCUCCUCUUGUCUACUCAAAGCUAGUGAGCAUGGAGAAAUUAUGAGCUGUGAGAGACAGAACAUAAGGAAAAUGUUGGCUUUGAAGCCCAGUUGUCCACGGGAGUUUGUGCACCUAUGCUACUGUGAAUAAUCAGCAGAUGAUGCUUUUUUCUGUUUUCAUGCUUCUUCUUAGAUACCACUGACCUGAACUAAUGCAACCAGAUACUUCCAGACUUAAAUCUAGAUCCCUCGGGGUGGUAAUUCAAAGUUGAACAUGUUGAUGUAAAUUAAGGAAGACUUAAUUCACAAGCCGUGUAUCUGUACGAAGGCUCAUAUAUAUCUAACCCAGGGAUUUUUUUCAUCUCUUGGUUAGAGGAGUGGGGCUGGUAACUAGAAUUCUAAUCUUUCUAAUACUGUCUCAGCAUAAUGUGUGUGUUGCCUUUGUGCUUGAUUGGCUCAACUAUCACGCGAAUCCAUACUAAUAAUAAU